UACGAAGGGGACUAGCGUUGUUCGGAUUUACUGGGCGUAAAGCGCGCGUAGGCGGAUCGCUAAGUCAGGGGUGAAAUCCCAGGGCUCAACCCUGGAACUGCCUUUGAUACUGACGAUCUGGAGAUCGGGAGAGGUUGGUGGAAUUCCGAGUGUAGAGGUGAAAUUCGUAGAUAUUCGGAGGAACACCAGAAGCGAAGGCGGCCAACUGGCCCGAUACUGACGCUGAGGCACGAAGGCCAGGGGAGCAAACGGG
rnacentral:rRNA from 1 species